rnacentral:rRNA from 1 species
CCCUACGGGAGGCAGCAGUGAGGAAUAUUGGUCAAUGGGCGGGAGCCUGAACCAGCCAAGUCGCGUGAGGGAAGAAGGUACUGAGUAUUGUAAACCUCUUUUGCCAGGGGACAAAGGCGGCCACGGGUGGCCGUAAGAGGGUACCUGGAGAAAAAGCAUCGGCUAACUCCGUGCCAGCAGCCGCGGUAAUACGGAGGAUGCGAGCGUUAUCCGGAUUUAUUGGGUUUAAAGGGGGCGCAGCCGGCGAUGCAAGCCAGGAGUGA